ACUAAGCGAACUUCAUAAAAUCCAAAAAGUAAACAAGAUAAUUUGAGCUAAAAAAUAACCAAAACUGCGGUGAUUUUUUUCCGUUUGCUCAAGCAGUUGCUGGUGGGUUAAGCUCAUCCCAAGCUUCAAUCCAUGUGACCAUGGCGUCUGCAAGCUUGUCAAAGUAGGGGUCUAGGGAGCUCAGCUUCUCCUUGACCAUCUUUGAGAGCUCAAUGUAGCACUGCUGAACAGUGGUUGCUUCCUUAGACAGCUUCACGUUCUGGAAGAAAGGAAUGAUAUCCUCCUGCCAGAAGAUUCCCUUGUAUUCCUUCUUCAGGUUCACAAACGGGUUGCUCGCUUUGCUGUGGUAUAUGUAUGGCAAACCGGUCUUCACUCCCAAUCCCAAGUGGUCACAGAUCACCUAUUACAAAAAAAAGAUUAGGUGAGCAUCUGCUUCAUUAACAUCCAUUAAGACGGUUUGAGUUCUAUACCUUGAUGCACCAACCAGCCCACAUAUCGUCGUAGCGACCAAUAGGCUGACCAUCACCCAUGAGACCAAAGUACAUAGCUGGUCCAAUCAAAUCACGGUCGAAAGCCAAGUUCAUACCGCACAUUGGGAAUAGUGUUCCCUUUGGGAUGGUCAUCACGGCAUCCACAUACCUAGUGUUCCUCUCCUUGGGCUUGACGAGCUGGGUAGGAGCAUCGUAGUCAGGGAUGUUGAGCCAGAGACCAUGGGAAACAGCAGUGGAAACACCUUCACGAAGACUGAAAGGGUAUCCACGGACGAAGUCAGCACCUUCACGGUAAGGAUCGUACAAGGUGUUGAAGAACAAUGGAGUCGAUGGACAGAGAAGAUUCUUGAUGUGUUGCUCAAGAGCGUUCACAGCCUUCCCAGCUGGAUCCUUAGCAACCUAUCAAAUAAAAUAUAUAAACAAUAAAAUAUCAAAGCCAUUAACUUUUUCUAACAAAACCUCAAAGAACACAAUAAAAUAAACAAAACGUGACAUUGCAGGACAACGACAUGUAACCAUAUCGUAAAGGUAAGGCUAUAAUGACACAUAGUGAUCAGACCAACAACAAUGUUGUCAACAAAAAGUACAUCAACUUAACACAUCAAGACUCAUCAGUGGAUCUACGGAUCUGGGACAAAAACAUUGAAUUACACAAUUGAACUAGCUAAUCAGACAAGAACCUAAGAUCUAACAUCAAAUCAACGAAAACUCAAGCCAAAAAAAAAAAAGCAGAUCUAGAUCCAAAAAAGUCAAGGACUUACGAAGCAAUCGUCAUCAAUGGUGAAGAUGUACUUCUUCUUAGACACCAUGUACCCAAAGCAGCGACAAGCAGAGUCCUUGAACGAGAUGCAAGAAGCUUUCGGCCCGAGGAUCCUGUUGAUGUCGUUCCUGUUGUAGAGCUCGUAGUCGUAGCCCUCGGGGACGUGGAUCUUCUUCGUGGGAUCUCCGUCCUGGACGAUGAUGAGAUGGUACGGCUGGAGGAAAGGCCUCCACAUCUCGAGGAAAUCGAGGUUACGGAUGGUGGGGAUCACGAUGUCGAGCUCAUCUUUCAGCAGCGGUGUUGGGUUCACCGGAAUUCCAACGGUGUAUAAAAAAAUAGUAUUUUUUGUUAAAAAAAUUAUUUUUAAUUAUUUUGACGGAUCCGGAUCCGGAUAUCCGCUGAUAAUAGAAUAUCGAGACGGAUAUCCGAAACCCGGAUAUCCGGAAACCACGAAUCCGGAUCCGGAUAUUAAAUCCACGGAUCCGACGGAUCCGAAGCCGGAUCUGGAUACCCUAAAUUUCCCGAAUAUCCGGAUCCGUCCCAGGGCUAGUUCAUUUUAUCGUAAUAUUGGACUUUAAAGUCACUAUAAACAGUUGUGCUUAUUCAAAUGAAAGUAGAUCUAAGAAACUGACCAACAAAUAUAUUUUGUCGACUCGAAUGUAAUAGGUUGCAGAAUAAGUUUUCGUUCCUUUAUGGUUUUACACUUUUACUUAAAGGAAAAACUGAAAAAGUAAAUAAUUAAAAACUGACAACUUAAUAAAUGUUCGGUUACUUUGCUAUAUAACGAAGGAAUUGGACAUGUGAAUGUGGGGAGGUAUAUGUUAGUGUCUUAAAUUCUCCAACGUUUAGCUUUCUUUUGAAUUGAAGUUCAUAUAUAUACAUAAUGUACAUGGUAGCAAAUAACACAUAUAUAAGGACACAAAACAUAAAUGUCAACAAAAUAGGAUAUAUACCUCAUAAUUCCUUGUUGAUUCGCUUUAGAUUCGAAUAAUUUGAUAAACAGAUAUGAUUGAUAAACAUAUAGUUAAACAAAACAAAACUGAAAAAAAAACUUGAAUCGUAAUCCUUACGACGUGGACCGUAAUCAGUACGUCGUGAUCGUGGAACGCUCGUCGGUGCACGUCGUCCAUGAUUAUUUGCCUAAAUCAUGUAACUAUCAUAAUAGAGAUAGUACAUGCACGUAGGUGAUGCACCAGCACUGAUAUACCUUAUAAUAUUAAUUAAAUAUUUCAAUGAUGCAUUAUUAAAUUUCUUCCCCUUGAUUCUAUUCCUAUUAAUUGUUAUAGAUUGUAGAAGAAAACAUAAUGAUACGGAAUUACGGAUAUACCUUACAGUAUCAUUUGAACUAAUAACCAUGAGCUCAACACCCAAUUUCUUAAGAAGCAGAGCAAUUUAUCAAAGUUUUAGGGCUAAUGAAACGCGGAAUGUAAAUACAUCAAAUGGGCCUAGAUUAAUGUGCUUAUUCCGCCCCAAUACAAAACGUUAUUGUAGUAUUUAAGCUCUUUCGUUCUUUCGCAUCUUUCUCAAGUCAAUCAAUGUUUCGCUUCUCACAUGAGUAAAGGCGUUAGAGUAAUCUUGUCGGAGGUUUCUUGCUCCUAGGUUCUUAAAAUACAUGUAUGUGUAUGUAUAUAUUAUAUAGGCGUAUGUAAUUGCCGGGUUCUUAAACUUUCGGUUGGGUUCACGUAAAGUUUAGAACUCCGCAAUUACAUACGCCUAUAUAAUAUAUACAUACACAUAUAUGUAUUUUAAGAACCUAGGAGCAGAAACUCCCGACAAGGUUGCUCUUGCACAUAUUCAUUUCUAAUCAUUCUCUCUUACUUCAUAAGAAAAAAUACAUUCUCUCUUACAAAAACAUAUUUAUUAUCUUUAUCUGAAAACCGAACUGACACAGCUUCUGGUUUGGUUUCUGAAACCAUCAGACUAAUCACCAUAUUGAGAUGAACAUAAGAAUAAGAAUCGUGAGUGAUAGUGUCCAGAAGGAAGCCAAGUUUCCUCGUGCAGAGUUCGGUAGAAAAGGGUAUGAAUCUGGUGGAGGUAACAUACAUUCAUCGCCAUUGAAGUAAACUUUCCUCGGAAAAGCCCAACCUUGCUUGAAAAUAAACGUCUUUUGAUCUUUCUGAAGCAAAUUAAACCUCUGACUGAACAUUCCCUGAAGGUCCCGCUUCCAUCAAAAGAUCAUUGUAAAACUUCGUUCCAUAGAACAUUCCAGUAUCAUCUGCAUCAAAAAGGAUUUGACAUUUCAAUGUUUGGUUCAAAAGGUUGAAUCUUUUGUAGUGAGAGACUUACUUAUGGAUCCAUAAGGAGCAACUGAUUUGUAAUCAAAGCUGAAAACUUGAGUCACAUUGUUGAGAUUUGGGUGCUGAACUGCUAAAGUCCACAGUGUAUGGUUCAUCUUGUAGUUGAAGUUUGUGAUGGCUAUCUUCACACGCCAAUAGUCUUUGUAUUUAACUUUAACGUGCCAGUGAACUCUAACAGGGCACAUGUGGUGUGUGCAUUGUAGUAAAGGUGCGUUAUCUUUUCUCGCUGUGUUGAGACCUUUCUUGGUUAGAAUCUUAGGAUCAGCCUUGUAAACAAAAUUAUUAAUAAUGAGUAUGAAAUUAAGUGAUUUGUGUUUUUGUUUUUGCUUACUUGACGCAGCUCUUUUUGUUCUCGCAACCACAUGCACAAGAAGGGCAAGGAGUUAUGGUGUCGUUGUAGAAAGAAGAGAAGGAGACGCAACAACUUGGAUGCUUUCUCGCUAGAAACUGUGAGUAGGUACAUGUAACAUUCCAUGUCACUGCAGAAGCAUGAGUUUGAAAUGAUGUUUAGAGACCAAUGAUGCUUAUUAGUCCUGCGGUUCCAGUAGUCUAGAUAGUUUGGUUCGGUCAAAAUCUCACCGAAUUGAACCAAAAAAUGCUAAGCUCCGAACAUUUUCAUGUGUUUAUGGAAUUACUAGUUCAUAUAUUUUCAGGCAAUGAACUUGAGAAACAAAGACAUUCUCUACGUGGAGCAAUGAAAGAAACACUAAUGGGAAAGGCAUUUUAUUAUUGAAACAAGAAAGAGAGAAAAAAGCUGGGAGUAAUAUCAAAACAAAAACAUAAAUAGCACCGCUAGACGAUGAGAAAGUAAUGAUAAUGAUGAUGAUAAGUGACGACUAAGCGAACUUCAUAAAAUCCAAAAAGUAAACAAGAUAAUUUGAGCUAAAAAAUAACCAAAACUGCGGUGAUUUUUUUCCGUUUGCUCAAGCAGUUGCUGGUGGGUUAAGCUCAUCCCAAGCUUCAAUCCAUGUGACCAUGGCGUCUGCAAGCUUGUCAAAGUAGGGGUCUAGGGAGCUCAGCUUCUCCUUGACCAUCUUUGAGAGCUCAAUGUAGCACUGCUGAACAGUGGUUGCUA
rnacentral:lncRNA from 1 species